rnacentral:sRNA from 2 species
GUUUGCACUUGUCGGGGAAGGGUGAGAACCUUCGAUUAAGGUUCGACUCGAGCGAAAGCGAGAGAACGUUGCCAACGGCAACGGCCCGAAGGGUGAGGAGCGAAGCGACGAAUAAUCCUUCCACCACCAUUC